GGGUUAGGCAUGUCUGAGCUCAGACUCUCCUUGGGUGGGGCUUGCCGUGGCUGCUGUGGGGGAUGGGAUGUUGUUUCCAGUCCAGUUGAAUUAUGUUCCUGGGAAAUUAUGGCUACCUCUGCUGUGUCACAUAGGUUGCCAAGGAAGUGGGAGAAAGCCAGCAGCCACAAGCCUCACCCAGCUCCCAUGGAGCCUGCAGCCUGCAGCUUGAAAGGCCAGCCUCAUUCCCACUGUGCCCCCACAACAGCACCGAAGCACCGAGUUUAUUUCCAGGCAGGCAGUGAGCAGGGCUGAGAAAUUGCCCCAGGCUACAAGCCUCCCAGCUGAGAAAGCAAGCAGACUCACAGUUCCUUGGCUGUCCCAUGCAGCCUGCAGCAGCAAUCCACCCCCUUUAAAGUGUCUGUGGAUUCUUUCAGCUUUUUUGGUUCAAGCAAUUCUCCUGUCUCAGCCUCCCGAGUAGCUGGGAUUACAGUCAUGUGCCCCUGUGUCCAGAAUUGGUUCCUUCUGGUGGGUUCUUGGUCUUGCUGUCUUCAAGAAUGAAGCCGUGGACCCUCGUCAUGAAUGUUACAGUUCUUAAAGAUGAAGAGAACAGCAUCAGGGCACAUUGAGGCUCAGAAAUUUAUAUUCCAAGAAGAGGUGCACAGGAACAGAGCAGAUCCAAAGCAGACAACCACCUGGAAGCAGUCAUAACAACAGCAAUAGCAAAUCAAUGCUGAUAAAAGAAAUCAAGUACAGAGAGUUUUAAGGACAUUGUCCAAAGUUGUACAAGAUCCAGCACUGCUUCCUGAGUCAAGCCACAGCUUCAUCUGACAAUCUAAACUGAGGCUGAGUUUGUCAUCUCUGUUGACAUGCUAUAAAAAUGAAAUAAAACUCAGGCGAACAUGACAGGCCUUGACCUAUUCUGCUGUGCCUGAUGCCAUCAACAGUAGCUUCCAAACACAACAUUUACAAACACAACCUGUUUCAAUCUGACUGAUUAUGUGAUUCUCCUGAUGCUGAGUGGCCUUAAGUUGUGCCACGUGUGAUUAUCAAGGCUACAGUUACUCAGUGAAGAUACACAUGGGGCUUAACCAAACCAAUGUAAUGGUGAUCCAAAUCAGCUUUAACAACAAAUCCUCAAGAGAGUGACUGAAUAAUGACUUCAGGUCAUAUGUUUGUGUGUGCAUAGAUUGGGCUGUGAAAUUGGGGAUGAAGAUUGCUUUUUGGCCUUUUGUCCCCUGUAAUUAUUGGAAGACUCAUAGCAUCCCUUUCAUCACACUAUUUUGAUUAAGACAGUUACACAGGUCCCUCCAGAUUUGAGGAUCAAUGUCACUGUAAGUAUAUGGGUCAUGGGGGUCUAUAAUCAAAAACUAAAAAAAAAAUACAUGUUGGCAUGGAUGUGGUGAACAAGGAACACUUCUACACUGCUGGUGGGAAUGUAAACUAGUACAACCACUAUGGAGAUUCCUUAAAGAACUAAAAGUGGAACUACCAUUUGAUCCAGCAAUCCCACUACUGGGUAUCUACCCAGAGGAAAAGAAGUCAUUAUACAAAAAAGAUACUUGCACAUGCAUGUUUAUAGCAACGCAAUUCACAAUUCACAAUUGUGUUGUGCAAAAAUGUGGAACCAACCAAAUGCCUAUCAGUCAAUGAGUGGAUUAAGAAACUGUGGCAUACUACUCAGUCAUACUACUCAGUCAUAAAAAGGAAUG
rnacentral:lncRNA from 1 species